ensembl:lncRNA
GAACAAAGUAAGACAUUUUUAAAUGCAUACAGCGCAACCCUGAACUUCUGUACACAUUACCCCGUAAAGAGUAUUCAAAUAUCCUUCAAAGUCGACAUUAAAUGUUGUUUAAUCUGUCAGAUCCUUAGUACAAAGUACAAAUGGACCGAUCAACUGGCCAGGGAUCGGAAUCAGACGAUAUUCAACUUCUCGACAUGGAGUAGUGACUGGCUGAUCAGCUUCCAGUAUGUCUGAUUACAAGCCAGCUAGUUUCAUAUAUGUGCACAGUGCCACAGACAUAUAGGCACACACACUCACAGACACACACUAACCUGUUGUUAGAGGCAAACCGCCUCACUGUGUUUCCAACAUCAAACUCCACAGACCCUUAAAUCACCCUCACCCAGCUGAACAUUGAAUAUUUUAAAGAAGGUAAGGAAGAAGAAGAUGUUGUUAAAGUUAAAGCUAUCCAGAGCUCAUAGCCAGCCCCAAGCCAGCAGCCUUGGUAUGAGUAAAGAUCAACACAAAAGAAAAAUUCCAGAGAUGAGUAAAAAAAAAAAAAGCGAGAGAGAGAAAGGAUCAAUGCCCUGUGAUCUGGUGAAGUUCCUGACAUUUGUUUUGGUAUAUGAAUCUGUUGUACCUGCUUUAUUUGUAAAGGUAAAAUAUGUCAGGCAGUGUGGAUGCACAGCAACUCAUUAUUAGACAAUUCUUUGAACUUGUUUCCAAUAGACACAUCAUGCUCAUCUGAUCUGAUCUUCUUUUGCUUCCUUAAAAAACCAGUCAGCUGCAGACCUUUUUGGCCAGAGCGGCGAUAACGACGCCCAGGUUGGACAGUGAGCUGUUGAUGGCGGUCAUCUCUUUGAAACGGUCACCCUGAGACUGGCUCUUCACCAUUCGCUCACUGCCAGCCAAGUCCACCAGGCACAGAGUGGCUACACACACAGAGAAAACCAACUCUUAUAGGAAGCAGUGAUCCGUUUUUCCUUCCAUUAAAGGUAGUUUUAAUACUUUACAAAACACUUCUUUUAGCGCUCAGGGGCUCAAACAUUAACGUUGAGUCAUCAGAGCAGAUUUUGCACUGGUUACAGUAACAAUAACUAACCAGACUAAAUAUUAUAGAUCCAAAAAGAAGAAGCCACAUUCCUGAUGCUGGUACUUCCAGUGUGAUACAUUUGCACUUGACAUCCCUGCCGGCAUUAACUCCCUCAAUAUCCAGCUGGAAGACUGAGUGGGAGCGAGACGAGCGGUCAUUCUGGGCUGUCUGGGCAGUGGAGCGAUUCUGAUUGGCCAAAGCAAUCAGACGGAGAACCUGAGAGGACGAGGGAACGUUUUAAAACAUAGAGCAUCGAUAAAGUUUGAUGUAUUUUCAAAGUUUGGUAACAAUUUGUCAGCAGAUUUGAAAUUAAUUUGUUCUGAGCUACAGAUGUCUGUCUGCUGUACCUGAUCCUCAUUGGAGACCCGCUCAUAGGUGAGAUUAGUGAUUGUCAAUUUGUUGCUGGCUGUCUUGCGGAUCUCAUGCUCAGGUCUCUUGCUGGACUUGCCGGUGAACACAAGGUCCCUCAGGGUCUCAUUGUAAAUUUCGACGAAGCUCGCUGUGAACGUGAACUGUGAAGUGAGUGGGGGUUAAUGCCCCACACUCUUUUCUGUCACUGCUUUGAAUGCACAGACUGGUCUUAAUGUUGAUCUUUGUAAUCUUCAGUGUUACGACCCGGCUCAAAAGCCGCAACAUAAAAACAGAGAUGAAUAGCAGAGUGUGGGUGAGAAGAGGUUUCAUCCUAAAAUGGAAAACCAGGUUGGCUAAAAUGGCUGGUGCCACCAAGGCAAAGACUAGUGCACUGCCGGGAAGCUUGCCUCAGGUAUGCUUUUAUCCACACCUGACUAGGUGUGGCCAAUUAGCACCAGCUGAAAACACUGAGACGAUUAGAAGCUGCAGAGGGACGUAACAUUCAGUAUUGAUAUUUGUAAAUGUAAACUAUGAGGAUUUAUUUAUUUUUAAUUCUUUUCUUUUUUUUCUUUUUUUCCCUCUUUUUUUCUUUUUCCAAAUAAAUGUCCCGAUUGAGUAAUGAAACUAACCCAAAGGAGAAUUCUAACAAUAUUAGACAGGCCAUUCAAUAUGCUUUAUCGUGGACAACUCGUGGCUAAAAACCCACACACACACACACACACACACACACAAACCUCUAAUCAAACAUGAAAACGGAUAAUCCAGCUGAAGCUUCAGACAGCCGUCAGACAGUGAAACACUGCCAUCUGCUGGACGCGAAUAACAAAGACGCUGCUUUGACGGGUGAGGGAGUUUCAACAAGUCUGCAACGACUCAAGCAUCAAACUACAGAACUAUUCUAGCGGACAUGGUGCUCUAAUGACUGCUUCAUUAACGCAGGUCAGAAAGGAUCAAACAUAUCAAUAAAUCAUAAAACACAAAACGUCUCUUAUUGCCCAGGGCUCAGGAAGUGAGUGUGUUCCUUAUAGCCUAUUAAACCUUAGCAGGUUAUUUUGAUGUGUUACAGAUGAAACAGCUAUCCAGUAACAUUCAGCUACAAAAACGCUUUUUUAUAAUUACUUUUUUACAGCUUCGCACUUUUACACAAGUUUUAUCAUCAGUGUCACAAUGGCUGCUGCUAAAAUUGAGUACAAGAUAUUUGUUGGCCUGAUUAAAAGGUCUUGAUGCGUGCUCAAUCAUCAGGGAAGUAAAUCUCCAAAAGUUGAUUCUGUUCUUCUGGACGUAGCGUUUUCAGUCAGAGAAACCAGCCGACUGAAGGAACAAUGGGCUGGGAGGUCAGUUCCUUAAUCAUGAUUAUGCAAAUUCUCAUGACCAUUGAUCAACAACCACUGAUCAAU